rnacentral:lncRNA from 1 species
AUGGGUUAAUAAGGAAAAAGUUCAAGGAAUAAAAGAAAAAAUUGAGCCAGUUAAGGGACUGGGCAUUAAAACAGUUUAUGGAGUCAGGUGUCAGGAUCAAAUAGGGGUAGGUAGGGUAAGCCUCUUUGAGAAGUUAACAUUUCAGAAAAGACUUAAAGGAGGUGAAAGGGAAGCCUGUUCUAAUCAGUAUUAACAGCCAAUGUGAAUGUUCUCUAGUGUUACAUGCCUGGGCUAGUGUUGCUGGGGUGGCAUGGACAGAGGGGUGGUGAGGUUGGGGUGGAGACAGUAGGAAAUAAAGUCAGAAAGGAAGCAGGGGUUAGGUGGUAUAGGUCCUGAGGGGCCUCUCUAAGGACUCAGUUUGGAGGGCUGAGCCACAGUUUUGGGUCUCACUUUCUCCAAUCCAGGUACAAAGAAGGAGCAAGACAUUUAUGAUUAUACCAAUAAGACACAGGGUUGCAGUGACACUAUGUGUGGGGUUAAUCAGUGAGCAAGUAUCACCCUUGGGGCUUUUCACAUAAAUGCAACAAAAAGCAAACAAUCAGGAGAGACAGUUAUGCAAAUAGGGAACUCCAUUCUAGGAAUGGAGAGCCAACCAGAUUGCACUCAUGUGUGGCAUAAUCAAACUGUCAGAGUGCUUUUGCUGUAAGUCUGCAUCUGGGCAGGCAGUACCUAGAACUGCAGGUUCAGAGCCCUGUCUGUCACUUAUCUUGAGCUUCUGUGGAAAAUAAAGAUCAAAUAUCUCUGAAGCAAUGUUUAGUGUCAUAGCUCUUUCUGCAAGAGAUAGGGUUUUUUUUUUUUUUCCCACCCACUAAAUCCUUUGUACUAUAUUAUCAUCUGAGUCUCCACUGUGAGAUUUUCUUGAGGUUCUUUGGACAUGUAAGUACAGGCAGAUUGGCUGUGGCUAAGAAUAAAUCUCUUUGGUUGGGGCCUCAAUAAAUAGCUGUUAGUCAAAGAUCCCAUUACCUCUUUUGUGGUGUGACACUUUACAAGUCAUCUUUUGUGCCUUUGAGAGGAUGCCUUUAGUAAUAAUAAUACCUACACUAGAUACUGUUUGUUUUUUCCCUCCUUAUGCCAGAUUAUAUUCCAGUGUUUUACAUAGGUCAAAUCCUUCUCUCUUUCAAUAACUUUAUCAGCUGGGCUAUAUGCUUAUUAUCUUCACUUUGAAGAUAGGGAUAGUGUAUAUGCCUCAGGUAGGUUAAACAACUUGCUCGUCAGCACACUAGCAAACUCAACAGAAGGCCUUAAACCAAGAGUCUGGCUCCACAUGUCGUGUUUUCCAUCCUCAUGAUUUGCUGUCCCAAGAGGGAAAAAAAGGGUAAGAAAACUAAGAUUACCUUAGGGUAUAUUCUUAUUUCAACUAUGCUAUAAUAAUUCAAGACACCUCCAGAAUUCUCUUUUCAGAAACUCUUCAAGACACGUUUAUUUUAAAUAUGUUCAGGGUUAUUAAAACUCUGUUUAGGGAGGUAAAGUUAACACUUGAAAAUGAUCAGUGUCAGCAUCAUUAUAAACUGACAAAAGAGGCAUUUCUAUCAGGGUAUUCUAAAAAUGUGUUUGACCAUAGAAGAUAAUAUUCAAAUCAAGAUAUGACCUCAUAAGCUGACUAACUUUAAAAGGAAAGAACUCAUUGAAUGUUUCCUCUGUUGUUAGAAAAUCAGUCACAGGAACUAUUGGUCAUGUGAUGCUGGAUCCCUCACGACUUGUUCUUAAUGAAGACUCUUAUUAUCUCAGGAACAGGGUCCCAAGUGACCUCCAAAUGGGUAGGCCUUUCCUUGGUAGCAGUGCUUCAAGGCAAGCAGGGUUUAACGUUCCUGCCUACACUCUCAGGUGGCCUCCCUAUGUUGGUGCAAAAUCCAAAUGGGUGCAAAAGUGAUUCCUUUAAAGGAAGACUACACAGGACAAUUUUCUUUAGUCUAUGUGCUAAUGAUGCAUAAACCUAGCCUGAUAGAGCCACUUAUUUUGAUUGCAGUAACUAGAUGCUUAGAACAACUGAAUCAUUUAACAUCUAAGUUCCCUUUUCUCUCAAACAUUGGCUAAUGAAUAAAUUAAGUUUCCCAUGAUAUUUUAGAGGAAAUUGUAAUGGUUGGUAUGAAUUUUAUGUGAUAGUGCAUAAACUCAACAACAUCCCUGUGAGGCAGAUAAGCAGCCAGAUCUUUGCAUCCUGGUUACUGAGGCUCAUAGUGGUGAAUUGACAUUUUCAAAGGCACAGGAGAUAAAUAUCAGAACAGGAAACAGAAUCCAGCACUUAAGUUGUUAUUCAGAUGGUGGGUAGAAUUGAGCACCUUUUAAAUCAAAGGUUGGAAUUCCCGUAGGAUCACCAGACACUUUCAGAAGACACUGUGUGAAUCAUCACAUGCAAAUAUGGUCCCAUCAGAAAACAUACAUCACUUGUUGCUUGGUGAUAGAAGAUGAAAAUCAAUCAGAAAGGAGGACUGUGGGAAUAAGAUCCUAACCCAUUAUUUGCAGGCUGAUUUGAAAAUACCAAUGGGAAGUCAGAGGGAAGGUAAAAUUUCAAUUCGGAGAGAGUAGGACCAACUUGUUUCUUGACUGAGAUGAGAAAUCAUUUUUCACCCUCACCUGUGACACAAACUACUCAUUUACUAGCUGCUAGUUUACGUUCUCUGUAUUCUGUCCACAUAGUAGCAUCAGCUGACACAUGGACCAGAAAGGAAGAGAAAGAGAACAAGUUGGCAGGGAGUCAAUAUAUUUCAGUGUUUUAUUACUACAAGAGUCUAGUAGCAUUUAGUGGGUAAGUCUGAACAGAGAAUGACUAUUUCUAAAGUGACUCAGUUAUCAGUAGAAAUGAUUAAAAACACAACAAAGAAAUCUAUGGAUUAAUUAGCAGGUCUGUGGUGGUUGAAUAGCUAUUACUAAAUUACAUGGUUGGCAUAUAAGAGAAAGGAUUAAUCUUCUGUGUUUUCCGGGUUGGUUGAUGUGUGUUAGAAUUCCUAGUCAGUGAGAAGAAAUUCUCAUUGAUUGGUUGAUAGGUAAUGAGAUCAGAAAAGAUAGUAUCUGGAUUUCCUUCAAUUCUACACAUUUAGGACUUAAUCUUAUUUUCAGUCAGUGAUACAUCCUUCUUGUUAAUGUUACUGACAGUGAGAUUUGAAGACUUGAUUAAUAAUAAAGAAGAGUUUCUAUUGUGGCUCAGUGGUAAUGAGCCCAUGAGGACGCAAGUUCGAUCUCUAGCCUCACUCAGUGGGUUAAGGAUCCCGCAUUGCCAUGAGCUGGGGCGUAGGUUGUAGAUGCAGCUCAGAUCUGGUGUUGCUGUGGCUGUGGUGUAGGCCAGUGGCUGUAGCUCAGAUUUUCUUCUACCCCUAGCCAGGGAACCUCCAUAUGCCACAGGUGCAGCCCUAAAAA